GGGGGGGCACCAGGGGGAAUUUGGACAAUGGGGCAACCCUGAUCCAACAAUGCCGGGUUUUGAAGAAGCCUGAGGGUUUAAAGCACUUUCGUUGGGAGGAAAGGUACCGGUUUAAAAGAUAGGUACUGUGACGUUACCCAAAUAAGAAGCACCGGCUAACUCUGUGCCAGCAGCCGCGGUAAUACAGAGGGUGCGAGCGUUAAUCGGAAUUACUGGGCGUAAAGCGCGCGUAGGUGGUUAGACGAGUUGGAUGUGAAAAGCCUGGGCACAACCUGGGUCUGUCAUCCAAAACUGUCUGGCUAGAGAGCAUGAGAGGGAAGUGGAAUUUCCGGUGUAGCGGUGAAAUGCGUAGAUAUCGGAAGGAACACCAGUGGCGAAGGCGGCUUCCUGGCAUGCAACUGACACUGAGACGCGAAAGCAUGGGUAGCGAACAGGAUUAGAUACCCUGGUAGUCCAUGCUGUAAACGAUGAGAACUAGCUGUUAGUUUCCAUGAGGAAUUAGUAGCGCAGCAAACGCGUUAAGUUCUCCGCCUGGGGAGUACGACCGCAAGGUUAAAACUCAAAGGAAUUGACGGGGGCCCGCACAAGCGGCGGAGCAUGUGGUUUAAUUCGAUGCAACGCGAAGAACCUUACCUACCCUUGACAUCCUUGGAAUUAUGCAGAGAUGCUAAAGUGCCUUCGGGAACUGAGAGACAGGUGCUGCAUGGCAGUCGUCAGCUCGUGUCGUGAGAUGUUGGGUUAAGUCCCGUAACGAGCGCAACCCUCAUGUCUAGUUACCAUCAAGUAAAGUUGGGGACUCUAGAGAGACUGCCGGUGCUAAACCGGAGGAAGGCGGGGACGACGUCAAGUCAUCAUGGCCUUUAUGGGUAGGGCUACACACGUGCUACAAUGGUUUGUACAGAGAGUUGCGAAGCGGUGACGUGUAGCUAAUCUCAGAAAGCAAAUCGUAGUCCGGAUUGGAGUAUGCAACUCGACUCCAUGAAGUGGGAAUCGCUGGUAAUCGCGGAUCAGCAUGCCGCGGUGAAUACGUUCCC
rnacentral:rRNA from 1 species